ensembl:lncRNA novel transcript
AAUUUAAAAUAAAAGUUUAAAAAAAAACAAAGUAUUUCAAGAUAAAUGUGUUCUUAUUGAAUAAACAAUAAUUUUGUGAAAAAAGAGGCUCAAUUGAAGGUGGCAGAAGAGCUCCCAAAUAGCAGUCACCUAAACAAGUUAGUAUACUUCUUGCUCACACAAAAUUAGACAGAGGCUUGGCCAUCCGGGUUUGGUGUGGCAGCUGUGCCUCAUGAGCCACUGGGACUCCACACUCCCCCAGCUUUACUUAGGGCAUGUCUCAUUUACUAAUAGUCACAUAGAGCUGCUGGAGCUCCAGGAAAUGGCCCCAGGGGCUUAUAAAGGAGAGGAAGGGGGUGGAGUGUGAGGUUGGUAAAAGCAGCGGAAGCUGGCUUGGCAUCCUGGAGGAGCAGGAAGAGAGUUCAUGUUCCACCUUCCCCUCUUCCCCGCUAUUCCACAGGGUCUGGAGGAGAAGAGCAGAGGGGUCUCUGGUUCCCAGGAAAGGGCCUGGGCCAGACUUUCUGAUGGAGACAGCUGGGUGGUGAGUGUCCACGCAGACAGGACUGAGGCUUGCCU